rnacentral:lncRNA from 1 species
AUUCAACUCUCCCGUUCCCUAAAUCUUUUCUUUUCUUUCUUCUUUUUCUUUUUAAUUAAUUAACUCAUCAUUUAUGUGUAUUAGGGACUCCUUUGCAUGAGUACAAGGUCCCUUUUAGCUUGAUCUGGGCUUAAUACUCUAUUAUAACAUGAAAUCCCUUAUUUUCCACCCGGAUGAACAGUAACCCGGACUGAUAGUGGGUUACUUCAUCCCGAUUUUGAUCCACUUUCAAGACUCCAAAUUUGAUGAAAUUUUUACCUAAAUUCUACACUCAUAGAGGAUUCCAAAGAGAUAACAUGCAUCAUCAUCGGAGGCCGUUUGACCCUCUAAAUAAUUUACCGAAGUUGGGACUUCGACACAGUUUUUCCGUAAUGCUGGAAAAAUUUGUCGAAAUCCGAUUCUUCCUCUUUUAACCACCUCUACAACCCUUGUCUGACCCCUCUAGACUACAUCCACCCUUUGUAUAGUCUAAUAUCAUCAAGAGACUAGAUAGGGAUGGAUAUUUACCUUUUUCUUUUUGGAAAUUGAGGUCCUUGCGUAGAGGGGAAGGAGAUCUACACUUUUCCCUUCAGCUGGCAGC